rnacentral:rRNA from 1 species
GACGGGGGAUGCAAGCGUUAAUCGGAAUUACUGGGCGUAAAGCGUCUGUAGGUGGUGAUGCAAGUCACUGGUGCAAAACUCUGGCUCAACCGGAGGAAAGCCAGUGAAACUGCAUGACUAGAGUGUGGGAGAGGUAGAAGGAAUUCCCUGAGUAGCGGUGAAAUGCGUAGAUACAGGGAAGAACACCGGAGGCGAAAGCGUUCUACUGGAACACAACUGACACUGAGAGACGAAAGCUAGGGGAGCGAAUGGG